UUUCUCUUCCUAGCCGUCCUAACUUCAGGUCUGAGAGUCUGGAGGCCAUCUCUGUAACCAGAGACCAUGAAGCAACCAGAUCUACCAACCCAGUCAGUUCUGGGUGCUGCUGCCCCUCUGGGAGGUUCUGUGCUUCCUGCAACUUGAAGAUGGAUUCCAGUUUAAGGCAGGU